rfam:Nicotiana attenuata strain TT chromosome 5, whole genome shotgun sequence.
UGGACAUAUUAUGUAUUCAACUGUAUUCACGGCGCGAAAUAGGGUAUUACACUGUUUUUAAACGGAAAGUGAAUCAAUUAACAUAAUAGACUCCU